CCUACGGGAGGCAGCAGUGGGGAAUAUUGCGCAAUGGGCGAAAGCCUGACGCAGCGACGCCGCGUGAGGGAUGAAGGUCUUCGGAUCGUAAACCUCUGUCAGCAGGGAAGAACGGUCACUGUGCUAAUCAGCAGUGAAUUGACGGUACCUGCAAAGGAAGCACCGGCUAACUCCGUGCCAGCAGCCGCGGUAAUACGGAGGGUGCGAGCGUUAAUCGGAAUUACUGGGCGUAAAGCGCUCGUAGGCGGUAUGUCAAGUCAAGGGGGAAAUCCCCGCGCUCAACGUGGGAACUGCCUUUGAAACUGGCAAACUGGAGUGUGUGAGAGGAUAGUGGAAUUCCAGGUGUAGGAUGGAAAUCCGUAGAUAUCUGGAGGAACAUCAGUGGCGAAGGCGACUAUCUGGCACAUAACUGACGCUGAGGAGCGAAAGCGUGGGUAGCAAACAGGAUUAGAUACCCCUGUAGUC
rnacentral:rRNA from 1 species